UACGUAGGGUGCGAGCGUUAAUCGGAAUUACUGGGCGUAAAGCGUGCGUAGGCGGUUCGUUAAGUGCGUCGUGAAAGCCCCGGGCUCAACCUGGGAAUGGCGAUGGAAACUGGCGGGCUGGAGUAUGGUAGAGGAAGGUGGAAUUCCCGGUGUAGCAGUGAAAUGCGUAGAGAUCGGGAGGAACACCAGUGGCGAAGGCGGCCUUCUGGACCAAUACUGACGCUCAUGCACGAAGGCGUGGGGAGCAAACAGG
rnacentral:rRNA from 1 species